CAUGGAGAAGGUGUGAGUGGCUGAGUUGAAUCCUACAUGCAGGCUCGUUCCUGGCUCAGUGGAGAUCAACGGCUCUCUCCCUUCUGCAGAAGUGACUUCUAAAACGUCUUUCUGACUCUUGGUGUGGUUCUUUCUCAUUAGACAAAAUAGACUAUAUAGAAGUUUGGUGAAUUGAACCCAACAUUAAUUGGUGCCGAAACCCGGGAUCCGAUACCUGCCCGUCGGGGCGACGGAGGAGCAACAGGUCAUUAACACCGUCGACGGCCCCGCCGACCUUCACGGAGGGGGACCACCUAGGUGUUGAUCCGCGGCCGUCCCGAGGGACAGUGAAGGAUCCCGUCGAACCAGGACCUCACCGGGAGCCGGAAAAACGGCUCUCCUGAAACCGGGUGACGAAAUCCUGAUAAAGGUCAUCAAAAGAAAGUCCUGGGCGACACCCAAGUGGGAAGGACUGUUCCGAGUACUCAUUACCACCCCAACUGCGGUAAAAAUCGCAGAACGAAGCACCUGGAUACAUCAGUCUCAGUGCAAGAAGUUGACACCAGACGCUGCCCUUGAGUAAGUGGGAAGACGGACGGUAUCAAAACCCUUGUCCGCCGAAGAAACCAACAGACACUCACUCACCAGCCACAGGG